rnacentral:lncRNA from 1 species
CAUGAUCUCCCCUUCUUUCCCUAAACUAAAAACCAUCCACACAACACAAACUCAAAAAAUCCCAUCUCACAAAAUUCACAAAUCUCUCUUCCCCAUAGAGAGAAACAUAGCUAGUACUAGUAUACACACUAAGCUAGUACUAGUACAACAACAACAAUGGCGAUAUGCACAUCCCACUUCCUAACCUCCUCAACAACUCUAAACCAUCUCAAUAACCAACCCGAACCAAUCCUCUUCUCCCGCACCACCCGCCACCACUACACUCCCCGCCGCCAAACCCACCUCACUAUAUCAUGCUCCGCCGCCCACGACACGGUGGGCAUUGGGCUGGCAUGCUCCGCCGCCCACGACACGGUGGUCAUCGGCCUGGCGGCGGACUCCGGGUGCGGGAAGAGCACCUUCAUGAGACGGCUUACCAGCGUCUUCGGGGGCGCUGCCGAGCCGCCCAAGGGUGGGAACCCGGACUCCAACACGCUCAUUAGCGACACCACGACCGUUAUUU